UUUUUGAAUAUAAUUUAAAGUAGGGCCUGCCCACUGAAAUUUUUAAAGGGCCGCAGUAUUUUGACUGUGCAAAGGUAGCAUAAUCAUUAGUUUUUUAAUUGAAAGCUGGAAUGAAUGGUUUGAUGAAAAAAUAACUGUCUUAAAUUUAAUUUAUUAGAAUUUUAUUUUUAAGUUAAAAAGCUUAAAUAAAUUUAAAAGACGAGAAGACCCUAUAGAGUUUUAUUUAUAAAUUUUUUUUUUAAUUUUAGAAUUUUAAAUUAAUUUUAAUGAUAUAAAUUUUGUUGGGGUGACAGAAAAAUUAAUUAAACUUUUUCUAUAUUUAUAUAUUAAUUUAUAAAUUUUUGAUCCAAUUAUUUGAUUAUAAGAUUAAAUUACCUUAGGGAUAACAGCGUAAUUUUUUUUGAGAGUUCAAAUCGAAAAAAGAGAUUGCGACCUCGAUGUUGGAUUAAAAUUAAUUUUUGGUGUAGAAGCUAAAAUAUUAGGUCUGUUCGACCUUUAAAAUUUUACA
rnacentral:rRNA from 1 species